rnacentral:lncRNA from 1 species
AGCCACAGCCACAGUAACGCCAGAUCUGAGCUUUGUCUGCGACCUACACUGCAGCUUGUGGCAAUGCUGGAUCCUUAACCCACUGAAUGAGGCCAGAGAUCGAACCCACAUCCUCAUGGGUACUAGUCAGAUUCUUAACCCUCUGAGCCACAACAGGAACUCUUGAUUUUUAUCAGCUAUUAUCAACAUGGCAUGAACUGAUUUAUGAGAAGAACUAGCCAGUCUUCCAACAAAUCCCUGAGGUAUUGCUCUUGGAUGGAGAGUCACCUUGCUCAAGAUCACACCCCCUUCCCUGAAGUGAUCCAUCUCCAGUGACUGGCCAAGGACAAGACAAAAAUCUUGGCAUCUUGCCUCAAGAUGGGACAACUCGGAAGGUUUCGUGCCUGUCCCAUGGUUCUCCCUGGCAUCAGCUGAGUACUUUGUUGUGCCUGUAUCUCAGCCCAGCUUCCUCCUUCCCUGGUCCUGCACCCUCACUCCCCCACAGGGGUCCCUCCAGAAUAUGCUAUCCUAUCAACUCCUCAUACAUGAAUCUUAUCCCAGACUCAGAAUUCCAAGAAACUUGACCUGGGACACUGUCCUUCUUUUUUCUCUGAGCUUCUUCUUCAUGAUUAAAGAUGAAUAUUAUCGUAGGUGAUUGGUACUCACACAGCAUGCAUGGCAAAGUAAAGUUUUAAAGUAAAAAUUAUUCUUUAACUGCUAAAGCCUCUAAAUGUCCUGAGAAUUUCCACUCAAUAAUUUCCACAAAUCUCCAAAUUUCUUCUCAUCCUCGUAUAAUUAAAAAUGCCAUUGUCAAAGCCAUGUCAUAGAAAUAAGAAACUAUUCUUAUUAACUUGGUUAUUUUCAGUUAUAAUUAAUGGAUUUGCAAGAGGUCUUCACUGCUAAACUACACUAUUUGAUUCUUCUACUGCUUUUCAUUACAAAUGUGCAUUAUUUCAUCAAGGUUUAAAUUUAAAUCUAUUUCUAUGGUCUGGCCUUUUGUUCCUUUUAUUAUUUUUGAUAGAAAAAGUAUUUUCAAGUUCAGAACAACUGACUUUGAGAUAAACUUUGGAACCCAUCCUGUCUGUAAGUGGGAGUUUGUGAUCACAUGGAAUAAUUGGCUUUGGAAACAGAGAGAAGCCUGACCGCAUUUCAGGACUUGAAACAACCUUCAUGCUUCCUUGAUGAGGCAGGUGCCCAGACGCCUCGCUUUAUAAUAGCAGCUAGGCAGUCACAGUUUGAUUUCUCAACCUCAGGUCACUGCUUGGCCUACACCCAUACUGACCAUCUGAAUAGUCUGGCCACUUACAGGGCUAUUAGACAGCAUGGCCACAUGUGGAAUGGGCAGUGAUUCUUUCCUACAUAUGGGGCAAGUGAGGCCACUAAAUUCAUCCAUCCAAAACUCUCCCCACUCCUUUUUUUGGAAGUGAAGUAAGGCUGAGCAUUCCAUUUAAAUUUUUAGUGAUUUAAAAAUGUUUUAAUUAACAGCACUGUGUGAGGGACCAGAAUUAUAAAUUGUUUAGUCCAGAGCCAGAGUUCCCAUUGUGGCUCAGCAUGUUAAGGACUGGUGCUGCCACAAGCUGCAGCAUAGGUCACAGACAUGGCUCAGAUCCAGUACUGUCAUGGCUGAAGUAUAAGCCUCAGCAGCAGCUCCAAUUCGACCCCUAGCCCAGGAACUUCCGGAAGCCACAGGUGCAGCCAUAAAAAAUUAAAAACAAAAGACAAGUCUAGAGCUUACCCAUUCACAUGAGAGCAAAGACUCAAAUUAUAACUUCAAAGACACAUCAGCCAAACUAAAUGAGAUGAAAAAAACUGUUGUAUACAAAUACACCAAAUACAAAAAGAAGGUAGAUUUCUAGUCACUAAUUGAUAAAGAAUGGGUAACCAAAGCUGCUUUCUUCAAACGUUCACAAGGAUGAAGAGCAGAACCAAAGCAUCCUAUGAUAGAGUCACUGAUAUGAAGAACUAUUCAACUGCUAAGGGAGUCUCAGAAGCAUUAGCUGGAAAGUGGAAGCCACCCCAGGCAAGAGAGGGACACCCAGAGUGGCAGCAGGGUCUGGAACUGUCCCAGUU